rnacentral:rRNA from 1 species
GACGAACGCUGGCGGCGUGCUUAACACAUGCAAGUCGAACGGUGAAGCGCCUUCCUUUUUGGUGGGUGUGGAUGAGUGGCGAACGGGUGAGUAACACGUGAGUAACCUGCCCCCUUCUUCUGGAUAACCGCAUGAAAGUGUGGCUAAUACGGGAUAUUCUGGGUCUGUCGCAUGAUGGGUCUGGGAAAGAUAUUGUUUCGGUGGGGGAUGGGCUCGCGGCCUAUCAGCUUGUUGGUGGGGUGAUGGCCUACCAGGGCGGUGACGGGUAGCCGGCCUGAGAGGGUGGACGGUCACACUGGGACUGAGACACGGCCCAGACUCCUACGGGAGGCAGCAGUGGGGAAUAGUGGACAAUGGGCGCAAGGCUGAUGCAGCGACGCCGCGUGAGGGAUGGAGGCCGUCGGGUUGUGAACCUCUUUCGCCAGUGAAGCAGGCCUGCCUCGUUUGUGGGUGGGUUGACGGUAGCUGGAUAAGAAGCGCCGGCUAACUACGUG